UACGGGGGGGGCAAGCGUUGUUCGGAAUUACUGGGCGUAAAGGGCUCGUAGGCGGCCAACUAAGUCAUACGUGAAAUCCCUCGGCUUAACCGGGGAACUGCGUCUGAUACUGGAUGGCUUGAGUUCGGGAGAGGGAUGCGGAAUUCCAGGUGUAGCGGUGAAAUGCGUAGAUAUCAGGAGGAACACCUGUGGUGUAGACGGCUCUCUGGACCGCAACUGACGCUGAGACACGAAAGCGUGGGUAGCAAACAGG
rnacentral:rRNA from 1 species